rnacentral:misc_RNA from 1 species
UCCAAGCAUGACUUACAGAAGUUAUGUGCACAGGGUGUUGUAAUUGGUUGAGUCAUCACUUGGCCACAGAUUUGACAACUGAACUCUUUUAGAAGCUUCUCCCUCACAUUUGUACUCUGUGCUUUCUUUAUGGCUUUCUGUGACCUCUUCCUGUCCUCAGGAUUUCCGGUAUCAACCGGCUUUUGGCUNUUUUGGCUCGGAGGUGGAGGUUUUUUCCACUUCCAGCGACCGUCUUCUUCAUCAUAGUCCCAUGAUGGACUUUCCUUUCUCUCUGUUUUGUCAGUUGCCUUGGCCAGCUCUUUUACAACAGGCAAAGGCCUAGGUCGGUCCCCAUGCUCAUCACUUGUCCACGGUGCAGGUUCAUUGUCACAUCUAACAAAUAAGUACCGGCAGACCUUGUAACCUUGAAUUCCAACCUUACGCCAACAUUUUUCUAUUCUAUAGACCCCAUCAUAUCGCACCCCACUCUCAGGGGC